rnacentral:rRNA from 1 species
UACGGGGGGAGCAAGCGUUGUUCGGAUUUAUUGGGCGUAAAGAGCUCGUAGGCGGCUUAGAAAGUCAGGUGUGAAACCUCCAGGCUCAACCUGGAGACGCCACUUGAUACUUCUAUGGCUUGAGUUCGGUAGGGGAACACGGAAUUCCUGGUGUAGCGGUGAAAUGCGUAGAGAUCAGGAAGAACAUCGGUGGCGAAGGCGCUCUGCUGGACCAUAACUGACACUCAGGGACGAAAGCUAGGGGAGCGAAUGGG